AUUGAACGCUGGCGGCAGGCCUAACACAUGCAAGUCGAGCGCGAGGCGGACGGGGGUGUAAUGUGUAUGGACUGCCCGAUAGAGGGGGGUAACUACUGGAAACGGUAGCUAAUACCGCAUACUAUCGGAUAACCCAUAUGGGAUUAGCUAGUAGGUGGGGUAAUGGCUCACCCAGGCGACGAUCCCUAGCUGGUCUGUGAGGAUGAGCAGCCACACUGGGACUGAGACACGGCCCAGACUCCUACGGAGGCAGCAGUGGGGAAUAUUGCACAAUGGGCGCAAGCCUGAUGCAGCCAUGCCGCGUGUAUGAAGAAGGCCCUAGGGUUGUAAAGUACUUUCAGUCGGGAGGCGUUACCGACAGAAGAAGCACCGGCUAACUCCGUGCCAGCAGCCGCGGUAAUAC
rnacentral:rRNA from 1 species